ACGGAAGGCAGCAGUGAGGAAUAUUGGUCAAUGGGCGGAAGCCUGAACCAGCCAAGUCGCGUGAGGGAAGACGGCCCUACGGGUUGUAAACCUCUUCUGCGCGGGGGUAAAGUCGGGGACGGGUCCCCGAUUGCAAGUACCGCGCGAAAAAGGAUCGGCUAACUCCGUGCCAGCAGCCGCGGUAAUACGGAGGAUCCGAGUGUUAUCCGGAUUUAUUGGGUUUAAAGGGUGCGUAGGCGGAGGAUCAAGUCAGUGGUGAAAUGGUGCGGCUCAACCGUAGCAUUGCCGUUGAAACUGGUUUUCUAGAGUGCGAAUGGGGUGGGCGGAAUGUGUCAUGUAGCGGUGAAAUGCAUAGAUAUGACACAGAACACCGAUUGCGAAGGCAGCUCACUGGGGCGCAACUGACGCCGAGGCACGAAAGUGCGGGGAUCGAACAGGAUUAGAUACCCUGGUA
rnacentral:rRNA from 1 species